CAGACAUUUUUGACAAAGCACCAUGCAGAGUAGACAAAAGAAUAUACUUAAAGGGGAACAUACUCAUUUCAAACCGAGUUUCAUAUAUUCUUUACAGAUUUUUCAGUGUCCACUCAGGGUACAAAUAUGAAUCCUGCACAGCAGACGACAAGGUUCUUUGGUUUCCUACACUCAGAAGACACAGAAUCCGUGAUUACCUAUAUUUGUUGGUUCUUAUAGAGAGAUCUCUAGUGAUAUUUUAAUAAUGUUUAAUCUGGAAAGUCAAAUGUCACUCAAAGGAGCCAAGCCCCUUUGUCAAAUCAGGAGCUCCAUCAGCCAAUCAGGAACCCAGAUGCCAGCGUGGGAGUUUGUCAGUGGAAAUAACAUUGCAUGACUUCCAAGUCUGGUUUCUUCAUUUGCAAGAUAUCAACCCAAUAGGAUUGUGACUGAAAUCAAAUGAGGCACCCAAGUCUAAUAUGAGAAAAACAUGAGAAAAAUUCCAGGAGGGGGACAUUCUACAAAAUACCUGACCAGUACAUCUCAAAAUUGUCACGAUCAUCAACAAGGAAAGAUUGAGAUACUGUCAUAGCCAAGAGACGCCAAAGGAAAAAUGACAACUAAAUGUAAUGUGGUAUCCUGGAUAAGAUCCUGGAAUGGAAUAGAAAAUGGGCAUUGGGUAGAAACUGAAUAAAGUAGAGACUUUAGUU
rnacentral:lncRNA from 1 species